AGUCGAACGGCAGCACGGGUGCUUGCACCUGGUGGCGAGUGGCGAACGGGUGAGUAAUACAUCGGAACAUGUCCUGUAGUGGGGGAUAGCCCGGCGAAAGCCGGAUUAAUACCGCAUACGAUCUACGGAUGAAAGCGGGGGACCUUCGGGCCUCGCGCUAUAGGGUUUCCCGAUGGCUGAUUAGCUAGUUGGUGGGGUAAAGGCCUACCAAGGCGACGAUCAGUAGCUGGUCUGAGAGGACGACCAGCCACACUGGGACUGAGACACGGCCCAGACUCCUACGGGAGGCAGCAGUGGGGAAUUUUGGACAAUGGGCGAAAGCCUGAUCCAGCAAUGCCGCGUGUGUGAAGAAGGCCUUCGGGUUGUAAAGCACUUUUGUCCGGAAAGAAAUCCUUGGCUCUAAUACAGUCGGGGGAUGACGGUACCGGAAGAAUAAGCACCGGCUAACUACGUGCCAGCAGCCGCGGUAAUACGUAGGGUGCGAGCGUUAAUCGGAAUUACUGGGCGUAAAGCGUGCGCAGGCGGUUUGCUAAGACCGAUGUGAAAUCCCCGGGCUCAACCUGGGAACUGCAUUGGUGACUGGCAGGCUAGAGUAUGGCAGAGGGGGGUAGAAUUCCACGUGUAGCAGUGAAAUGCGUAGAGAUGUGGAGGAAUACCGAUGGCGAAGGCAGCCCCCUGGGCCAAUACUGACGCUCAUGCACGAAAGCGUGGGGAGCAAACAGGAUUAGAUACCCUGGUAGUCCACGCCCUAAACGAUGUCAACUAGUUGUUGGGGAUUCAUUUCCUUAGUAACGUAGCUAACGCGUGAAGUUGACCGCCUGGGGAGUACGGUCGCAAGAUUAAAACUCAAAGGAAUUGACGGGGACCCGCACAAGCGGUGGAUGAUGUGGAUUAAUUCGAUGCAACGCGAAAAACCUUACCUACCCUUGACAUGGUCGGAAUCCCGCUGAGAGGUGGGAGUGCUCGAAAGAGAACCGGCGCACAGGUGCUGCAUGGCUGUCGUCAGCUCGUGUCGUGAGAUGUUGGGUUAAGUCCCGCAACGAGCGCAACCCUUGUCCUUAGUUGCUACGCAAGAGCACUCUAAGGAGACUGCCGGUGACAAACCGGAGGAAGGUGGGGAUGACGUCAAGUCCUCAUGGCCCUUAUGGGUAGGGCUUCACACGUCAUACAAUGGUUGGAACAGAGGGUUGCCAACCCGCGAGGGGGAGCUAAUCCCAGAAAACCGAUCGUAGUCCGGAUUGCACUCUGCAACUCGAGUGCAUGAAGCUGGAAUCGCUAGUAAUCGCGGAUCAGCAUGCCGCGGCGAAUACGUUCCCGGGUCUUGUACACACCGCCCGUCACACCAUGGGAGUGGGUUUUACCAGAAGUGGCUAGUCUAACCGCAAGGAGGACGGUCACCACGGUAGGAUUCAUGACUG
rnacentral:rRNA from 1 species